AGCAGCGUGGCUCAGUGGAAAGAGCACGGGCUUGGGAGUCAGAGGUCAUGGGUUCAAAUCCCAGAUCUGCUG
rnacentral:tRNA from 1 species